GUCGAGAAUUUUUCACAAUGGGCGCAAGCCUGAUGGAGCGACGCCGCGUGGGGGAUGAAUGGCUUCGGCCCGUAAACCCCUGUCAUCCGGGACCAAACCCUUGUGGCUAACACCCGCAAGGCUGAUAGUACCGGAAGAGGAAGGGACGGCUAACUCUGUGCCAGCAGCCGCGGUAAUACAGAGGUCCCAAGCGUUGUUCGGAUUUACUGGGCGUAAAGGGUGCGUAGGUGGUCGGAUAAGUCUGAUGUGAAAUCUCCAGGCUCAACUUGGAAAUGGCAUCGGAUACUAUCCGGCUCGAGGGUUGGAGGGGGGACUGGAAUUCUCGGUGUAGCAGUGAAAUGCGUAGAUAUCGAGAGGAACACCAGUGGCGAAGGCGAGUCCCUGGACAACUCCUGACACUGAGGCACGAAAGCUAGGGGAUCAAACAGGAUUAGAUACCCUGGUAGUCC
rnacentral:rRNA from 1 species